UACGUAGGGUCCAAGCGUUGUCCGGAUUUAUUGGGCGUAAAGAGCUCGUAGGCGGCUCAGUAAGUCGGAUGUGAAAACUCGGGGCUCAACCCCGAGACGCCAUCCGAUACUGCUGUGGCUUGAGUCUGGUAGGGGAACACGGAAUUCCUGGUGUAGCGGUGAAAUGCGCAGAUAUCAGGAGGAACACCGAUGGCGAAGGCGGCAUCCUGGACCAACACUGACGCUGAGGAGCGAAAGCCAGGGGAGCAAACGGG
rnacentral:rRNA from 1 species